rnacentral:rRNA from 1 species
GAUGAACGCUAGCGGCAGGCUUAACACAUGCAAGUCGAACGGUAACAUUGGUGCUUGCACCAGAUGACGAGUGGCGCACGGGUGCGUAACGCGUAUGCAAUCUACCUUUUACUGAAGAAUAGCCCAGAGAAAUUUGGAAUAAUCCUUCAUAAUAUCAUUUAUCAGCAUUGAUUUUUGAUUAAAGCUCCGGCGGUAAAAGAUGAGCAUGCGUUCUAUUAGCUAGUAGGUGAGGUAACGGCUCACCUAGGCUACGAUAGAUAGGGGCCCUGAGAGGGGGAUCCCCCACACUGGUACUGAGACACGGACCAGACUCCUACGGGAGGCAGCAGUGAGGAAUAUUGGACAAUGGAGGCAACUCUGAUCCAGCCAUGCCGCGUGCAGGAUGACUGCCCUAUGGGUUGUAAACUGCUUUUAUAUAGGAAGAAACACUCCCACGUGUGGGGGCUUGACGGUACUAUAUGAAUAAGGAUCGGCUAACUCCGUGCCAGCCGCCGCCGUAACAC